AUGUUUCGGGUUUUAUUGAAUCCGUUUUUACUUUCAGAGAGAACAGGAAGAACCUUUUUGGUGGACAAAGUUGCACAAUCCUUUCAUCACGUUGCUUUGCUCUGUGAAGACCUGUCUUUCAGAACGACUGAAUGCCUCUGUGAAGAGGGCCAAAGGGCAUUCCUUUUUCUGCUUGUAUGUUUCCACACAGAGCAAGACCUCGCUCCACCAGGUGGUGGAUUCUCGUCUACUUCAGACGGAAGCGAGGUGUCGGGAGGUUGUCACAGAUUCAGCUCUGACACAACUGGUCUGCAAGGGCCUUUAAAGACCCAGCCAUCUACUGAAACGCAGGAGGAAGCUGUGGAAAGUCUUCCAGGGCCACCAUCACCUUAGAUAUCCACUUUAAAAUAUACUGUAUCUAUUUGCAGCUUUAUUAAUAAAGAAAAUCUUUUAGUAACUUUAGCCACGAGCUCGGCUGACAUUGUCCUUCCUGCAGGUCGUGUUCAAAAUAAUUUGUUUUCUAAUACUGGUGAUCUGAGCAUAAAUCACUGACUGAUUAAUUCACACAAAAUCUAUUUUCUCAAAAUCACUUAAGCCCUGCAAAAUUAAGAGGGAACUUUAAAGUUUAUUACCUGCGUGUUCACAGCUGCCUGAGAGCAUUAAUGAUGAGGGCUGUUGGUGUGGUCUCUGAUGACCCAGUUUUAUAAAUGAAAGUUGCCAAAGUGCCCUUGUACCGUCUCCUGCUCUCCUCAGUUAUACAUCAGCAUGGGCUGUAAUCCGUAGCUGUUUAUCUGUUGUGUCAUUUUUAUCACAUGCUGUGGAUUACAAUUAAGUUAUACAAUUUCUGAAUUUGAUAUUAAGAAUACUGAAACAAAUGUGGCAAAAAUUAAGAGAAAAUCUUUUUGCCGCUGCUUUCUGGAUCAAAAUAUGUCAUUUUUGUCUUUUACUAACAUUUCGACCACAUAUACAUAUCUGAUGCAUAAACUUUGUGUGUGUGUGUGUGUGUGUGUGUGUGUGUGUGUGUGUGUGUGUGUGUGUGUGUGUGUGUGUGUGUGUGUGUGUGUGUAACCUCCACAGCCUCCAGGUUCACAAGCUGUGCCAGAUUGAUGAUGUUCAGACAGCAGCUGAAAGAGCUGUGAGGGAUUUUAGACAGAGCUCAGAGGGUGACAGCUGAGUUGGGCUGACAUGAACCUUGACCUUACACCUCUUUUGAAUGUCAGCAACCUCGCACAUGUGCACGUUAAAACUCUCUCACACACACAUACACACACAUACAAGGGCGGAAAUCCCAUUUCAAUUUUGGGGGGGACAAUAAACAGUAAAACUUCAGAGAGUAGUCUUUGGGGGGGACAUGAAAAAACAUGCUCUCUACAUACAACACUGUAUGUCCUUAUAAGAGACUGACCUGAGACUCUGUGCCUGUGUCUGACAGGCUCUGGCUGCCUGUGCUCAAGUGACUGGACUUUGCCUAAUUAAACCGUUUAGAAACAAUUUCAUGGGCAUUUCAUUUCUUUCUUAUAGAUGUCUUCAUCAAAAUGCAAGUUUCUACUUACAUGACGUUCUGGAGCAUUAAAAAAACGACCUGAUGUCUGCCGUUUUUCGUUUCUCUGCCAUUUCAACUGACCUGGUCUGCAGACAGUUGGACAGCAACACACACACAGAUGGGAUAUUGUCAUUAGAACGGAGCUGGAGGAUCAAUAUCUUGCCAAUUUUGUACAUCUCCAUAAGCAUCAUUUCUUUUUGUUGUCAUUUCAAUAACAAGACUGUGGCCUAAAUCGGAAUAAGCAAUUCAGAAUAAAGAUUUUAAAGUAGAUUGUUAAUAGUUGAAGCAACAUGUCCUGAAAUGACAUGGCUAUUAGCUGACCAGCAGCUACACAUGUGGACGGAUGCAAAGCAUUAAUUUUAAGUAGUAAAACAUAUCUAACUUUUUCACAACAAAGAGAGAGAACAUAAAAAGUCAAAUUAAAAUUUUAUUAAAUCACAUAACAUGAAAGCUACUAAAAUCCAAAUAGUUCCAUAUUGAUUUUAAUAUAUUUGAAAUUUUCCUUCUAAAUAUGGCUAGAAAAAAUAACAACCUCCAAAUCAGCUUUCACAAGUCAAGUAUCAAAAUGACUGAAAUCUCUAAUAAAUCAUAGAAAUGUUUGUAGACUAUUAGAGAAUAACUCUGUAAUAUUUAAUAACUAUCUAAGUCCUACUGAACGAAAAGCUACACAAAAUCUAAAAAUAUAUUCUUGAAAUAUUUGUUUCAUUUUAAUAAUAGAAAUUAAAAACAUUUACUUUACAAAUACACUAAACAUAUACAUACUCUAUAGUUUAUCUCUCAGUUUAAUCGAUCUCUCACUUUUCUCAGUUUUCAUAGUGUUUUGGGGUCUGUGUGGCCAACGGGAUCUUUGGCACUGAGAGCUUUGAGCAACGUGCCUCCACCACACAUUUGCUGCAACCAGUUCAUCCCUAAGCUGCACGGUGCACCUGCACUUUGACAUAUUGUAAACAUCUGCAGAGCCUGGGGAAGACGGGAUAAGAGCGGUUAAACGCUGUGGUUUUCCGUACAUCGGACCAGUUAGUUUUGAUUCUACCAUAUUCAUCUGCUAAAUAGGAUGAAACGCGGACAUUUUCAUUGAUCUAUAAAUGCUCCGCAGAUUCCAGGGGCAGACCGUGAAAGCGUACGUGUCUGGAAAAAGGAACUUUUGAUCACCUUAGUGAAUGGAAUAACAGUAGCGGAAUAAUCCUGGACUGACCAGAGAACAUGAAGUGACCACUUUUUUUUUUUACUGCGGUGGUGGUGGUCUGUCGUAAAGGGAUCUCCGACCGGUGAUCAAAAUCUAAAGAUAAUUGGUGUCUAUGUUUGACAUUUAUGACCACAUUUGACACACAUAUUCAAGUUUGUAGAACAAGCGUGUGAUAAAUGACUUACUGCUGGAAACCGCUGGCUUUUUGAUUCCCGCCUCCUGUGAGCCUGCGGGCUGCUGUGAAGCUGUGAGCGGGGCAGAGCCGG
rnacentral:lncRNA from 1 species